rnacentral:rRNA from 1 species
CACGUAGGGCGCAAGCGUUGUCCGGAAUUAUUGGGCGUAAAGAGCUCGUAGGCGGUCCGUCACGUCCGCUGUGAAAACCCAGGGCUCAACCCUGGGCUUGCAGUGGAUACGGGCAGACUAGAGGUAGGUAGGGGAGAAUGGAAUUCCCGGUGUAGCGGUGAAAUUCGUAGAUAUUGGGAAGAACACCGGUGGCGAAGGCGGGUCUCUGGGCCGAUACUGACGCUGAGGAGCGAAAGCGUGGGGAGCAAACAGG